rnacentral:rRNA from 1 species
AACAGGAUUAGAUACCCUGGUAGUCCACGCUGUAAACGAUGUCGACUUGGAGGUUGUGCCCUUGAGGCGUGGCUUCCGGAGCUAACGCGUUAAGUCGACCGCCUGGGGAGUACGGCCGCAAGGUUAAAACUCAAAUGAAUUGACGGGGGCCCGCACAAGCGGUGGAGCAUGUGGUUUAAUUCGAUGCAACGCGAAGAACCUUACCUACUCUUGACAUCCAGAGAAUUUGCUAGAGAUAGCUUAGUGCCUUCGGGAACUCUGAGACAGGUGCUGCAUGGCUGUCGUCAGCUCGUGUUGUGAAAUGUUGGGUUAAGUCCCGCAACGAGCGCAACCCUUAUCCUUUGUUGCCAGCACGUAAUGGUGGGAACUCAAAGGAGGCUGCCGGUGAUAAACCGGAGGAAGGUGGGGAUGACGUCAAGUCAUCAUGGCCCUUACGAGUAGGGCUACACACGUGCUACAAUGGCAUAUACAAAGAGAAGCGAACUCGCGAGAGCAAGCGGACCUCAUAAAGUAUGUCGUAGUCCGGAUUGGAGUCUGCAACCCGACUCCAUGAAGUCGGAAUCGCUAGUAAUCGUAGAUCAGAAUGCUACGGUGAAUACGUUCCCGGGCCUUGUACACACCGCCCGUCACACCAUGGGAGUGGGUUGCAAAAGAAGUAGGUAGCUUAACCUUCGGGAGGGCGCUUACCACUUUGUGAUUCAUGACUGGGGUGAAGUCGUAACAAGGUAACC